rnacentral:rRNA from 1 species
AGUGGCGGACGGGUGAGGAAUACAUAGGAAUCUGCCUGUUAGUGGGGGAUAGCCCGGGGAAACCCGGAUUAAUACCGCAUGAGCCCUACGGGGGAAAGAGGGGGAUCGCAAGACCUCUCGCUGACAGAUGAGCCUAUGUCCGAUUAGCUAGUUGGCGGGGUAAAGGCCCACCAAGGCGACGAUCGGUAACUGGUCUGAGAGGACGACCAGUCACACUGGGACUGAGACACGGCCCAGACUCCUACGGGAGGCAGCAGUGGGGAAUAUUGGACAAUGGGGGCAACCCUGAUCCAGCAAUGCCGCGUGUGUGAAGAAGGCCUGCGGGUUGUAAAGCACUUUCGGUGGGGAAGAACGCGUUCCAACCUAAUACGUUGGAGCAGUGACGGUACCCAAAGAAGAAGCACCGGCUAACUCUGUGCCAGCAGCCGCGGUAAUACAGAGGGUGCAAGCGUUAAUCGGAAUUACUGGGCGUAAAGCGCACGUAGGUGGCUAUAUAAGUCGGAUGUGAAAUCCCCGGGCUUAACCUGGGAACUGCAUUCGAUACUG